rnacentral:rRNA from 1 species
CAUUACCGAAUCGUCAAACACGGGUUGUUGCUGGCCUCCAAACGGGGGCACGUGCACGCUCUGUUUACACAUCCACUCACACCUGUGCACCCUCUGUAGUCCUAUGGUUCGGAAGACCCCGUCUUCCUUCUGUAGCUCUACGUCUUUACACACACGCUGUAGCGAUGUCUCAUGGAAUGUUUUUAUGCGUUUAACGCGAUACAAUACAACUUUCAGCAACGGAUCUCUUGGCUCUCGCAUCGAUGAAGAACGCAGCGAAAUGCGAUAAGUAAUGUGAAUUGCAGAAUUCAGUGAAUCAUCGAAUCUUUGAACGCACCUUGCGCCCCUUGGUUAUUCCUUGGAGCAUGCCUGUUUGAGUAUCAUGAACACCUCAACUCUCAUGGUCUUCCAUGAUGAGCUUGGACUUUGGGGGUUUGCUGGCCCUGCGGCCGGCUCCUCUCAAAUGAAUCAGCUUGCCAGUGUUUGGUGGCAUCACGGGUGUGAUAACUAUCUACGCUCGCGGUCGUCUGCCAGGUAACCCUCAGCGAUGAGGGUUCAUUGGAGCUCAUAAACGUCUCUCCUCGGCGAGGACAACUUUUGAACGUUCGAUCUCAAAUCAGGUAGGAUUACCCGCUGAACUUAAGCAUAUCAAUAA